UAACCGUCACAACGGCUUCCUGACGUGGCGGGGGUAUAAUCAAUGGAGCA
rfam:Actibacterium atlanticum strain 22II-S11-z10 contig5, whole genome shotgun sequence.